UACGGGGGGGGCAAGCGUUGUUCGGAAUUACUGGGCGUAAAGGGCUCGUAGGUGGCCAACUAAGUCAGAUGUGAAAUCCCUCGGCUUAACCGGGGAACUGCGUCUGAUACUGGAUGGCUUGAGUUCGGAAGAGGGAUGCGGAAUUCCAGGUGUAGCGGUGAAAUGCGUAGAUAUCUGGAGGAACACCGGUGGCGAAGGCGGCAUCCUGGACCGACACUGACACUGAGGAGCGAAAGCCAGGGGAGCAAACGGG
rnacentral:rRNA from 1 species